rnacentral:lncRNA from 1 species
UGAUAUUAAUGUCAUUUAAAAUGUGUUAUUGUGAGUUCUUGUGCAGUUAAAUCCAAAGAGAAUGAAUGAGUGUGCAAUGUAUAUGGAGAAAUCAGUCUAUAUGUUACAGUAUGUCCCUUUAAGUAAAAUGAUAGCAGAAUACUGUAGUGUCUUUGGGUUUGGGGUGGUUGCUGUGUACUAGCCGGUGUUGCCUGCAGGCAGUCCUCGGUUGCCCAGGAAACACAGAUGGUGGAUGAAGGGCGCGCAUACAAAAGACCCUAACCUGUGGCAGCAGCUGGAGACCGAGACCACUGAUUAAUGCAGGUCUUUGCAGUCCCGCUUAGUCAAAGACGUCUCUGUUCUCUUUAAUACCUCCCAUCCAUUUUCUUUGUCCCGGGGCUUCCGUCUUCCACUUUAUCCUGUUUUCCCCGGACUGGCCUCCCAUCAGUGCGCAGCUGUUGUUGGCACUCCCACAUCUGCUUGUCUCGGCUCGGCAGCCAUGUAGACGACGCUCAGCCGCGGCUCGUGUUAGUGCGUAGCGUGUAAGGUCCAGGGGGCGACCAGCCUUUCACUGCGGCCUAAUCACUGCACACACACGGCGUGUAUUUGCCGGUUCGGCAGCUUGCCCUCAGCAUGGAAGAGGAAGAUGAAAGAGAAGAAGAAGAAGAAGAAGAAGAUCUUUUCGCACCGUUUGAUGCUGCGGGACAAGUGCAUGUGGAACCCGGGAUCACUGGAAACCUUGUGGUCGGUGUCACUGGAUUCAUCUACAGAGCUGCUGACUUGUCACCAGUCUGGACACUGGGAGGAUCCACAUGGGAACCAACAGCAGGACAGGUUAUCUGUACGGGCUGUAUUAUAUUUAUAAAAAAUGAAGAAAAAAAAACACGAGGGAGGAUAGUUUUAAUGACACACUAUAUCAGAUGAAUUGAAUAGCAUUAGUCAGUCAGUUAGAUAACUGAUACUGUGACUUAUAUGUUGUAGCAGUGGGUGUACUUCAGCCUCAUUUAUCUUAGCAGUAAGGAGAAACAAUAAAAAAAGAAAGAACAAGUAAUCCCUGGGGUGUCUUGGGAGGACAGUUUGGUUGCGUCCCACUUUUCUGCUGCUUUGUCUUGUGUGUUCCUCUCUAGUGACACCGAUGAGAAAGGAAUCCGGGGCUCGCGUUGGACCUCGCGAGCGACAUGGCUCCGUCGCCCCCUGCUGUGCUGCACGCAGACUGGUACGGGAUCUGUCAGUAGAUUUACGCAUCUGUGACUUAUCCCCCUCGUAUUCACUUUACACUCUGCACUGUGACUUGUUAAAUAGGUCUAGAUGAAUAUAAACUGCAGAGCCAAUUUUUUUUCUUAUCUUGCUUUCUGCCCACAUACAGGAUGUGUCCCUGUAUGUGUGUGUGUGUGUGUGUGUGUGUGUGUGUGUGUGUGUGUGUGUUAAGCCUCUGCGCUGGCUGACAGUGCAGAUAAAUCGGGAACAGAUAGAACAUGGGAGAUUAGUUAUGUUCAAUCGCUGCCAUAUUUCCCACUAUAUGCUGCUAUCUUUUCCCAGGAUUACGGUUAAGAGGGGAGAUACACCAACCUGGAAAGCGGAGACCAUCACCAAAUCAGAUUUAGCAUAAUCAGAUUUUUAAUUCGACAUUAUGCAGGAUUAUCCUGGAAAGAAAAUGUUUUCAUGUUUGUUAGACCAGGACAAAUACAUAUGUCUCGUAAAGAGUGUUCAAGGUGUUAGGAAUCAGAGAAAUCUGGAAAUGACUUCCUGUAUUUCUUCCUUUUUAACAGCUGUUGUGUCAUUUCUCCUGCAGUGACCGAUGCAUGGUGCCAUCACCGCUCUUGUGUACCCUCAGAAGGAGAGGAUCCAUGUCCAAGUGUUUCCCCACUGAGAGCCACUUCUGCUUUUGUGUAUCAGUGAAAAGGGCGUUGAAGAGUUAAAAAUGCCACCAUUGCUUUGUAGUCCGUGGCGGCAUGAUCAGAUUUAGCAAGGUGGUGUUCUGAGUCCAAAUUAAUUUGCUGCAGUGUACCCUCACUUUCAUGUUUUUUUUGCCUGAUCAAAAACAAAGACACUGCAGCCGUAGAACACCUCUCAUGCUUUUUCUCUUCAGCUGCCAUGUGCACUGACCUCUUUGCUCCGUGACCUUCUUUACUCUGUCUAACGCUCUGAACACUUCUCUCCGUAUAAGACACUUUAAAUUCACUGGAAGUAAUGUUUUACUUUGUGUUAACUUCUCACCAAAGCUAGCUUGUACUUAUGCCAGAUCCAGUAGUGUAUUAUUCUGCUUCAGUGUGUGAGUUAUAUAUAAUAUAUAUAUAUAUAUAUAUAUUAUAGUUGUCUCAAUAUGUGACAAUAUGCUCUUUGUUUGUCUUUAAACUUCUUAAUUCGGGUGUGAUACCAGUUACUUUUAAUAUACUAUAUAUAGUGCGUAUACUCUGUGCAUUUUUACUGUAGAGUGUGAGUGCACGUGUGUGUGUGCAUGUGCUCUAUUUGUGUGUGUGUGUGUGUUUGUUCCUGUACGUGUGCAUGUGUCUGUCUGAUGAAACACAUGGAGCUACUUGCUGCUUUUCAGUGGUUUUCUUAUUGCUGCACAGAUUUAAAAAUGCCCACAGUUCUUCUUUUAGCACAUUGGAUGUACCGGACAAAGGAUAAAAACAUAUUUACGAAUGAUUCUCAGCAUUUGUUACAACCUCAUUGAAGUACCAGUUCGGUGGGGGCUCUUGCGAUUUAGACAAUCGCAGGAAUGUCGCCGGAAAUUAAUGGUGUGUAGUUUUUCUAAAUGAUGUCUGCUGGCAUGAAUUAAACUGUCCCGAUGCCUUCAGCCCCAUCAUCUGAUACUUCAGCAAAUUACAGCAAAUGCUAAUAAUUAUGUGCAAAUAGCUUUUUUUACCCACGUCUGGAUUCUACUAACCGUAUCUGACUAAUAUCUAACAAUACUAAUAUCUGCUAACAGUCGGAUGAUUACUAACCUGUACUCUGAAUGCUGAUGGCCGGCCUUGUUCUCUCUAACACACUGACUAACCCUCUGCUUUAUGCCCGCAGUCCGAUGCACACACACUCCUCUCUCACGAUCCUGCAAUCCUUCUUCUAGAAAUCACCAGCUGAGAUCAAUUAUUAAAGGAGAAAAUCAAUGAAAACUGGUAAAGUGAGCAAACCAAGAAGGGUUUCAGGACUUGGGAAGGGAACUGUUAUUAACCACUAGAUAAAAAAAAAAAAGAGGAGCAGAAACAGCUGCUGAUAUCAAACUGGGUUGACCACAUACUUUAGAGGAAUCCUCACAAAACCGAUCUGAUCCCAAAUGACAUCAUCGCACCUCACGGGCUAAAUUCACAUCUUCAGAGACCGUCUUUGUGUCUCUGCCUGCGCGCUGUGUGGUCAACCCUUACAGGUGAGUGCCUGGCAUCAACAAACCUCAUACUAACUUACUAUGAUACUAACUGUGGUGAGGCUGUAAAGGCCCACCUGUUGCUCUUACUAACAUCUGUGUUCUUUCUGACUGAAACACCCUGAUGUCUGUAAUCAAAUGAUUCCCUCUCUUUUGUUAAUCUUUAAUUAAAUCAAAGCAUGCCUCGUGGUACUAGAGAUGCUUACUGAAAAACUUUUAUACGAAACGUCUUCUAGUGCCACGAGUGUAUGCUUUCUAGCAAUGGGAAGUUCUGUGUCAGUGACAUGCUCAACGAUGAUCCUUCUAAACAAGCUGGACAGGUUUUGUUCUCUCAACAAGCUACUAACAUCUCCUAAAGUUAAGUUAACAGGAACUAACCAACAAGCUUUCUUUAGCUCUCUGCAAACUAACAAACUAACAUACUAAUAAACUAAUAUUCUAACAGAAACUAACUAAAAUCACUUACUUUGUGCUGAGUGUCAGAAUCAGUGAAGCACCCUGAUUGUGAGGAGUUGCAUCACUUACUGAAUGUACUAACAACAUGACGUUUUUAAGAGUUACUGAAUGUGUCUGUGUGAGAGCACCGAAGAGAGAGAGAGAGAGUGUGUGUGUGUGUGUGUGUUUUCUUCUUCUUUCAAACUAUUUAACAUACCAAUGCAGAUUAUAUUUGAGAGCAGUUACAUUUAUCCACAGCUCCUCGUUCAGCUGAGCACCAGGAUAUAAAACACACCUUGAACCUCUC